UACGUAGGUGGCAAGCGUUGUCCGGAUUUACUGGGCGUAAAGAGCGCGCAGGCGGUCGUUCAAGUCGCGUGUGAAAGCCCACGGCUCAACCGUGGAGGGUCAUUGGAAACUGGGGAACUUGAGUGCAGAAGAGGAAAGUGGAAUUCCAAGUGUAGCGGUGAAAUGCGUAGAGAUUUGGAGGAACACCAGUGGCGAAGGCGACUUUCUGGUCUGUAACUGACACUGAGGCGCGAAAGCGUGGGGAGCAAACAGG
rnacentral:rRNA from 1 species